CCGCCGCGGAAGCCGACCUUGCUGCUGCCAAGGUCACCAUUGAGGCCGUGGGGGCCGAGUUGGACGCCGUCAAGCGUGAGCGUGACCGCCUGGCUGACGACUUGCGCCGUUCUGCGGAGGAAGAGAAAGCUCGGGCAGACGCCGCGCAGGCCUCUUUUAUCGAGGAGUUUAUUCCCGACUUCAAGAAUCGCUUGGCCGGUAUGCAAGCG
rnacentral:lncRNA from 1 species